CUUCUGCCAAGCAGAGCAGCACAGCUGCAAGACACCCUGCUUCUGGCUCUGAGCUUUGCUUGUCUUCAGGGAUGGAGCCCCUCCCAAGGCAAGUUCAACUGGGUUCUUUGGCAGCCGAAGUCUACACGGACCCUGCAGGGAGCGGUGGAGAAAAAUAUAUUGAUCAUGAGGAGAGGGCUCACCCCUCACCCGGAGAAGUAGUUGGGGAAGCAAUAUGCGGAAACAAAGCCAUGAAUCUGACAAGAAAUGUACUUAAGAUUGUAUAUAUGGAGAUGAAUACCCAUUGUCCUUUGCACUUUCUGGAUGAUAAAUUAGAAAAGAAAAAUCCAAAGAAUGAAGUUGUGCUAUUUGUCCUCACUUCUG
rnacentral:lncRNA from 1 species